rnacentral:rRNA from 1 species
GCGGGCGGCCCCUCCCUGGGGCCGCUGCCUCCCUCGGGGGGUGCCCGCCGGCGUACCAAAACUCUUUUGUAUUUUAGUGGCCUCUCUGAGAAAACAAGCAAAUAAGUUAAAACUUUCAACAACGGAUCUCUUGGUUCUGGCACCGAUGAAGAACGCAGCGAAAUGCGAUAAGUAAUGUGAAUUGCAGAAUUCAGUGAAUCAUCGAAUCUUUGAACGCACAUUGCGCCCGCCAGUACUCUGGCGGGCAUGCCUGUUCGAGCGUCAUUUCAACCCUCAAGCCCUGCUUGGUGUUGGGGCCUACGGCUGCCGUAGCCCCUGAAAACUAGUGGCGGGCUCGCUAUAACUCCGAGGCGUAGUAAAAUAUCUCGCUAGGCAGGUUCGCGCGUCCCGGCCGUGAAAGCCCAUCUUUUACACAAGGUUGACCUCGGAUCAGGUAGGAAUACCCGCUGAACUUAAGCA